rnacentral:rRNA from 1 species
GAAUCCGCUAAGGAGUGUGUAACAACUCACCUGCCGAAUGAAUUAGCCCUGAAAAUGGAUGGCGCUGAAGCGGGUAGCCGACACCACGCCGUCUGGACAAAGUGGUCUUUCAGAUGAGUAGGAGGGCGUGGCGGUUGUAUCGAAGCGUGGAUGCGAAUCUGCGUGGAACAGCCGCUAGUGCAGAUCUUGGUGGUAGUAGCAAAUAUUCAAGCGAGAUCCUUGAAGGGCGAAGCGGGGAAGGGUUCCACGCGAACAUUGAUUGGGCGUGGGUGAGUCGUUCCUAAGCCGCGUGGCAAUAGCUAAUUACCGGCGAAAGGGAAGCAGGUUGACAUUCCUGCACACGGAUGUGGAGACGGCGACGAUACAUGAGGCGAUCACGCUGGCGGUGGCGCUGGGCAGAGUUGUCUUUUCUGUUUGACCAUUGAAUACUUGCUGUGUGGAAUCCGCUUGUCGGGAGAAACACGCAGGUACGGGCAGAGCGCCGGGGCUUUUCCGGCGUCCAGCUCGCCACCGACGGCCCUUGAAAAAUUGCCUGCUGAACAACACUCUGUUGUUGUGAGAUCCACGCCGUGGCGUACCGAUAACCGCAUCAGGUCCCCAAGGUGAACAGCCUCUGCUCAGUAUGAACAAUGCAGGUAAGGGAAGUCGGCA